rnacentral:rRNA from 1 species
UACGAAGGGGGCUAGCGUUGCUCGGAAUUACUGGGCGUAAAGCGCACGUAGGCGGCUUCUUAAGUCUGUGGUGAAAUCCUGGAGCUCAACUCCAGAACUGCCUUCGAUACUGGGAAGCUCGAGUCCGGGAGAGGUGAGUGGAACUGCGAGUGUAGAGGUGAAAUUCGUAGAUAUUCGCAAGAACACCAGUGGCGAAGGCGGCUCACUGGCCCGGUACUGACGCUGAGGUGCGAAAGCGUGGGGAGCAAACAGG